UGAAUCUUAAUUUGCAUUAUUCUACAUACACUUCAGCAAGUUCAUACCGUGCAAAACACAAAUAAUUAUAAAUGUGGCAAUGUGCUAAAUAACAGACAACUAACAUGGUUUUCAAAUUGUGUCUCAAAAUGGAGAGUCAUCUUUCAUCUAUGUAAUGGACUUUAGAGACUGUACAGUGUACACUACUUGUGCAGCUGGUUUCUAUGGUCUCAACUGGUUCUCUUGCUCUUAUGUUAUUUUCUCAUUCUUGAGCGGUGAUUUUCCAGAAUAGUUUGGGUAAGAAUCACAAUUAUGCAGAAUGGAAGACAUCACUAUAAUCCUAAUGGAAGGCAAGUAAAAAAGAAGAUUUCAUUGAUGGAUUCAAUAUGAACAAUAAAAGUGAAAAUAGAAAUCGACCUUUUACAUUAGACCAUUGUUUCAAAACAAAGGUCUAAUAUGACAUUUGUUUUACAUUAAGACAAUGUAAAACAAAUGAUAAAGAUAAGAACAUAGGUUGCUAAUGUGGACUUCUAUUCUUGUCCUUCUCUGCCUUCAUUUCUACUUCAGGCAGAAAUAGUCACGACAUAACAUUUUACAAGUUAUCGACA
rnacentral:lncRNA from 1 species